CCUCAGAUGCCCGACCACCACUCAUCCUGUAAUGUGAGCAAAAAGAAAGGCGUACAUCUUGGUGAACACGGUUAACAUGAAGACUCAGGACCCACCUGGCAAUCUGUGAAGUUGUAGUCCAAGGAGAACUCCAGCUUACCCAACUUUUCCUGUUCUUUCUCCUCUUCCUCCCCUUCCUUCUUCACUUCCCCCUCCUAUGAGUAAAUUAGCGCAAUGGAUAUUCAUCCUGAAGGUCUAGAACAGCAUUUUUUGAAAACACAGAAGAUGAAGCAUGCCACCAAAACCAGGACCACCACAACAAUGGCUGCUACUGCCCACAUGGGAACUGGAAAAUCAAAAAAGAAAAAUUUGCACAUCAGUAUUCACUGUAUGUAGGCUGUGAGUAUGAUUAUUAUGGCGUAAAGGAAUAGAUAUCUGGUCCUCUGAUGUCCUUUACAUUCAUAAUAACAACAUGACCCCCAAAUAACAACAAAAACCCCAACAAAACAACCAAAAAAAGAAACCUGAUCUUGAAGCAGACAUAUUAACUUUUAAACGCUACCUUCUCUAUCAAAGGCUUUGUGAAAGCACGUUGCUCUGACACAUCAGUAUGUUCACGAAGAUUUAAAUCUUUCACAUCUUAAGAUUACAGCAAAGAGAAAUCCACUUUGAUAAGUCAGUUUACUACUAUAAUCUAAAGCAGUUCAGUGGCCAUCUGUUAGCAUUGACAAUUUUUUCCAAAGCUUAAAAACAGAAUCAAGACUUAAUCCAUUUUAUUAUUGAAAUAAAAAUAUCUCCUAGCAACAACUGUGGACUGUAAGGUUCAUUUGAGCAUUUCCACGUUACCCUUAAAUUCUGUUUUUAAGCACUUGUUUAUCAAGGGACGGUUUGCUGAGCAUGUGUGUUGUCGGCAACACCCUUCUCCACAAUCAGAUAAUAACACACUCCCGGCUGGGAGUGGCACUGUACAGUUAAUUAUUAGGAGCCUUACUCGAGGCGCCUCAGCAGUACUUAUUAAAAAAAGGGUAAACAAUUCUCAUGCGCAUUAGCCACAUGAAUUUUCCUAGACACAACACUUAGAAAUUGCUGGUAUAAUGACACAGAAAACAAGCUCAUAGUCAUAUAAAAGCACCAUUCUUUAUAGUGAUAAUGUCAAAAACACAGUCAGUGGUUUAGUGUUGGAACUUUCUCUUCAUAUCUACAGUAUCUUGAACUUUUAGUAAAGCUAGGCUAAA